rnacentral:ncRNA from 1 species
UUUAGUAUGCCCGACGCCGGUUUCCACUCGGAAUUAAUAGGGAAUCCAAAGGCGCGAGCCCUCGUGCUGAAAUGGAACUGCCCCCGCAACUGUAGGCGCUGAGCCCUGCUUGCUGUUCGCCACUGGGGUUUCCCCGGGAAGGCCGAAGCACGGCAUUGAUGCGCCAGUCAGGAGACCUGCCGGCCAGCUUAUUCAUUC